rnacentral:lncRNA from 1 species
AUCAACAGAGCUAGUAUUUCAUGAGGUUCUACUACAUACCAGGUUCCAGAAAGCUAAAUGCCUUUUGUUUGUUAUUAUUCUCUAAAUACAAAUCACAACUCCUCAUUACUCACACAACAAAAUUUAGCUGCGGGAGAUUGAGUGACUUUCCCAGGGUCACAUAGCUACUAAGAGCAGAGUCGUGUUUAGAUUCAUGUGGGAAUAUUGAACACAGAAAUGAACCAGUGGAAACAUCCUGUGUUCCAAAAGCCUACUCAAGCCAUUUGUUCUUAUUUUAAGGAAAAUCUUUAUGCUAAUUUUAAACUCCAAAUACUUACGAAUGGCAGAGAUCUACAGAUUUGAUUCUGAUGUAAGAAAUGAUGGUCACCAGCUGGUUACUGCUACCACCCCACAACCCCGAGCAUACUGGACGAAUGUCUAAGCCUUGUGGUUAGUGGGGACAAUGCUGGUGGAGUCUGAAGUUGUCAUGCAGUGACUCAUGCAAGCUUAGGCAGAUUUGGUGAUAUAUGACACAGAGAUGCAAAGAAAUGUUGUAGCUGACACACACAGGCUGGCUCUGGGAGAUGCAGAAGGAGCACGUCACCCAAAAUAGAGCCAGACAGACAUCCUUAAGGAAGGAGCAAAGGGGCUGCAUCUUAAAGAAUGUAGAAAGGAUUUGUCAUGAGAGAUGGGGCAGGAAGUUCUUGAGAGGCAGAGGGAGAGCAUGAGAAUGUUGGGAAGGGAGGAGAGAUUCUUGCACAUCUGGGAAGCUGACAAUCCAUCAGCAUGGCCAGAAGGAAAAUAAGGAGGAGGAGCAGAAAUAGAUGAGGCUGGAUAUAGAAGCAGGGCUGAAGCUGUGUCAAUUGUGGUAAAGAGUUGUGAUUCUAUCCAGAACGCAAUAGGUAGCAUUCUAAACAGAGAUCUUUUAAAACAAGAGUCAGCAAGUAUUUUCUGCAAGGGGCUAAAUGUUAAAUAUUUUAAGUUUUCCAAGCCAUAUGGUCUCUCUCUCAAUGACUCAGCUCUUCCAUUAUACCAUGAAAGUAGCCAGAGACAUUAUGUAACACAUGUAUUGGCUGUGUCCCAUUACAACUUUACUUACAAACGCAGACUGUGUCAGACAUGGUCCAUGCAUGGUAGUUUGCCACACUCUGUUUUAGAAAGCUCAGGUUUAUGAUGUGAUGGAGAAUGCCCACAAGAGCUCUUGUUUUAAACGGUAGAGUGAACAUACACUGGAAUUCUAUCCUGCUUGACACAAGCUCUUGAUAGCGAAAGGUAGAAAAGAUAGAUGGUAAAUAGAUAGAUAGAUGAUAGAUAAAGAAAAUACAUAGCUGUUCCAGAAAACAGAAAUGGAUAACUUCAUGAACCAAAAGCAGAGUAAUAUACUUUAGAAAGGAAGCAGGCCGGAAAACCCACAGUUGCAAAACAAAUAGAAUUUCCAACUGCCUCUUGUAGCCCCUUCCUGGAAGUAGUCACAGCCCGGGGUGUUCAACUUCUUCCUCUGUUUUUUGUUUGUUUGUUGUUUGCUUUUCUGUGGGGUUUUUGUUGUUGUUGUUUGCUUUUAAAAAAAAAAUUCCCUUUCCCUGCUUUUUUGUCACAGCAGCCUUUGUCACUUCAAACACCGCAAGUGUUCUUUAAAAAAAAUUAUAUCAACCUUUCAAUUAAAAUGCAACAUGUCUGAAAGUUGGUAUCUGGAGAGGUGAGUUGGACAAAGGAGCCCUUGUUACUGCACGUUUUCAUUCUUCAAAUUUCACCUUGCACGCAGUAACAGACAGUGCACAAAGCCACUUCCUUAUGGACGGAAAUUCUGAAAUCCUUUUAUGCCUGGCCUUUCCAUCCUUCAACUUCCCCUCUCCCACGCUGUGAAUGAUUGUAUUGGACAUUUUUGUUUUAAUGUCAGUGACAGGGGAACACAGGUAGCUCUAAUAUAGCUGUGACCCAGAUGCUUCUGUUUCUAGCAUGUAUUUAUUUUGUAGCAAACAUUUACAUCCAUGAUGUUUCACUGUCUUUUGAAAAUAAUUAGGCAAUAUCUCAUCUGAGGUAGGAUGUUUCUAGGGGUUGUGUUCUGAGGGAGGAAAACUAAUCUGUUCUCUUUCCACUGCAUUCUAGGAACAGUAAGAGGACCUUGUGCAUGAAUAAUUUGUUUCCACACUACAGAAAGAAUCCCAGACUUCUUAGAGAACCCAGUGACUUUUUGCACCUUAAAUCUGUGAAAUCCUUAUGUUUUCUUCUGCCGUAUCCAUAGUUCAAACAAAGAUGAGGCAAAGCUAGACGCAUUCCUGAAGGAACCCAAGAAAUUCCUCUCUUUCUUUCUCUGGAAUGAAAUGAAUUCUCUAGACCACCAGUUCUAACCUUCAAAAACCAAACCUGUUUGUGAGAUCUCCUUCAAAUACUACUGUAGACCCCAGUGUUUAUUCAUUAAAUUUUUUAAAUAUUUGUUUUAUUUGGAAUCCAUGUAUUUGUAAUUUUAGUGUUUGUAUUAAUAUCAGGGAGAAAUGUUUAAAUCUGUCUUAUGCCAUAUGUGCCUCUGGCUUAUUGCCCAAUUAAUUGUAGUCUCAGGCUAAACUUUGGUUUCUGUCUUUAAUUUUUGUCAGAAGAAAUAUAACUGAUCUCAAAACAUCUGCUUUUAUUGUAGGGGCUUGUGCUGCCGUCUCCAUUCUUCUCUCUUUUCUUGCAAUCUGGGUGGAAGUUCUUUAAUAUGAACAUUUCAACCACCUUCAUUCUACCAUGUCCACUAUCAGCACAUUCAAACUGAUCCAGCCAAGGCUGUCAUCUUAGGCCAGGGAUUUUUUAGGAAUCUAUUUUGCUGUGAUGCGGCUGGCACCCCUUUGACUCACUGUAUCACCCCAGGGUUCUUUUCAUUUCAGAAGCCCAAGAGGGCAGAAAAAGAAGUAGGUGAGCAAUUAAACACUCUGAGUCAGGAGCGUCUCCCCUUGCGUUAAGCAAUGUUGUAGAACAUCGAUGUUCUACAUCGAUGUUGGCGACCUUGGUACCAUUUUGUCCACUUGAUUGGAAAAGCCAGUCAAUAAUUUCAGGUCACUGUUGGCCUUAGAAGAAGAGCCCAAAGGCAACAAGCAAAGGCGCUGGUGUCCAGUCGCCUUCUAGAAGCAUUUUCACUUUCCCUUAAGGUUUCCCUUGAUGAACAUAGAAGUACUGUAUGUAGAAUUGACCCAGUGCUGCCCUGGCAACUUUGUAUAUUAGG